AUGUAUUCCAUAGUCCAGAUGACU
rnacentral:siRNA from 1 species